UACUACUGUACAGCUGUAAUAAUAGUAGAGAUGAGAGAGCUGAAGGUGGUGUACUACUGUACAGCUGUAAUAAUAGUAGAGAUGAGAGAGCUGAAGGUGGUGUACUACUGUACAGCUGUAAUAAUAGUAGAGAUGAGAGAGCUGAAGGUGGUGUACUACUGUACAGCUGUAAUAAUAGUAGAGAUGUGAGAGCUGAAGGUGGUAUACUACUGUACAGCUGUAAUAAUAGUAGAAAUGAGAGAGCUGAAGGUGGUGUACUACUGUACAGCUGUAAUAAUAGUAGAGAUGAGAGAGCUGAAGGUGGUGUACUACUGUACAGCUGUAAUAAUAGUAGAGAUGUGAGAGCUGAAGGUGGUAUACCACUGUACAGCUGUAAUAAUAGUAGAGAUGAGAGAGCUGAAGGUGGUGUACUACUGUACAGCUGUAAUAAUAGUAGAGAUGAGAGAGCUGAAGGUGGUGUACUACUGUACAGCUGUAAUAAUAGUAGAGAUGAGAGAGCUGAAGGUGGUGUACUACUGUACAGCUGUAAUAAUAGUAGAGAUGUGAGAGCUGAAGGUGGUAUACCACUGUACAGCUGUAAUAAUAGUAGAGAUGAGAGAGCUGAAGUUGGUGUACUACUGUACAGCUGUAAUAAUAGUAGAGAUGAGAGAGCUGAAGGUGGUGUACUACUGUACAGCUGUAAUAAUAGUAGAGAUGAGAGAGCUGAA